rnacentral:rRNA from 1 species
UACGUAGGGUGCAAGCGUUAAUCGGAAUUACUGGGCGUAAAGCGUGCACAGGCGGCUUUGCAAGACAGAUGUGAAAUCCCCGGGCUUAACCUGGGAACUGCAUUUGUGACUGCAUGGCUGGAGUGCGGCAGAGGGGGAUGGAAUUCCGCGUGUAGCAGUGAAAUGCGUAGAGAUGUGGAGGAACACCAAUGGCGAAGGCAGCCUUCUGGGCCAACACUGACGCUCAUGCACGAAAGCGUGGGGAGCAAACAGG